UAGUGACACCCACGCACACACACACACACACACACACAAACAUGUGAAGCUUACGUUCCAGUCCAACGAAAUUGAAUAUAAAUAGGAGACAGUGUUUUAACUAAGUCUGAGCAGUCACCAACCAGUCACACUUGUUAGCAUCCAUCAGGUUGACAUCAUGAACGCCAGACAAACUUUAAACUUCGUGGUAUCUGCAGCCGUGGUGGCUCUUUCUUUUUAUGUGGUUGGAGUGGACGCCAUAUGUGAGGCGAGCAAAGGUUGUUUUACAUGCUCUAACAAAACCAUUUAUGCUUGUUAACUUCUGAGACAGACCAACCACGUUCAACAUGGAUACGACAAUGAAAUAUUUUAUUCGUCUUUCAAAUUUUAAGAAUUUCUUUUUUAACUAUCAUUAACAAUUGAGCUACAUCUAUAACAAGUAUUCAACACUAAUCUGUUACAAUAACAAAAGAUGUCUCGGUCUACAUAUUCCUUUAGUGGAGUCUUUCACUUCAAAGAAAUACCUACAAAACAAUAAAAUAGCACUAUUUAAAAAAAUG